rnacentral:lncRNA from 1 species
UUGGAUCUAGGUUGACGAUUUUUUGACCUGAUCCGCAUAAUUCGAUCCAUAUUCGAUCCGACCCAACUCAAUUGCCAUCCCCAAUCAUGGAGCAGGAGUCAUGAGUGGGCUUAGAGGAAGAGAAGGAGAAGUGAGUGAAGAGAAAGAGGAGAGGGAAGGAGAUAGAGGUCGAAGGAGGAGGACGAUGAGAAAAAAAAGUGAAUGAGGAG